AUCAUGUUCAUCAUAUAUUAGUAAAAUGAUCAUGACACAAACAAUUUUUCUGCAUAAAUUUAAAAAGAUAUUAUUCCAAUCAAAAAAGUAACCGAUGCACGCUUCUCCAUUAGCGAGGCAUAGCAUUUUUCAGCCAUGAACGUGACUGGUGGCGUCUUCCUACAGAUUGGGCUAACCAAGACAAUGUUCGAGGUCGAAAAUUAUAUCUCGGAUAGCAAUGCUUUAUGGUGGUUGGGCCACUGGUUAUCGAUAAUAGACUAAUGUUUAUGGGAUGGACGUGUCACACGAGGCCACGAGCAUGUCAGCAUGAGCGCCGACGUGAGGGCGCUCAUGAGCUCAGCGUCCCAUGAUAGGCUGACGCGACAUUCGACAACAAGGUAUGUGCUUUGUAGAACUGGCAAGAACCCUUUCUUGGACUGUUCCAUUUUGAACCUCUUCAAAACUUUAUCAAGGUAUGUGCUUUGUGAAAGUCCUAUCAGGCGUUUUGAUCUAUCCCUAUAGAUCUUAAUGCCUAGAAUGUAAGCAGCUUCUCCUAGGUCCUUCAUAGAGAAACUUUUAUUCAAGUAACCUUUUAUGCUCUCUAAAAACUCUACGUUGUUUCCAAUCAGUAAUAUGUCAUCCACAUAUAAUAUUAGAACCGCCACAGAGCUCCCACUCACUUUCUUGUAAAUACAAGAUUCUCCAACCACUUGUAUAAACCCAAAUGCUUUGAUCACCUCAUCAAAGCGUUUGUUCCAACUCCGAGAUGCUUGCACCAGUCCAUAAAUGGAUCGCUGGAGCUUGCACACCUUGUUAGCAUUCUUAGGAUCGACAAAACCUUCGGGUUGUAUCAUAUACAAUUCUUCUUUAAGGAAACCGUUAAGGAACGCCGUUUUGACAUCCAUCUGCCAGAUUUCAUAAUCGAAAAAUGCAGCUAUUGCUAACAUGAUUCUGACGGACUUAAGCAUCGCUACGGGUGAGAAUGUCUCAUCGUAGUCAACUCCUUGAACUUGUGAAAAACCCUUUGCCACAAGUCGAGCUUUAUAAACGGUCACAUUGCCGUCAGCGUCCGUCUUCCUCUUAAAGAUCCAUUUGUUCUGAAUAGCCUUGCGACCCUCAGGUAGUACCUCCAAAGUCCACACUUUGUUCUCAUACAUGGAUCCUAUCUCGGACUUCAUGGCUUCCAGCCAUUUGUUGGAAUCUGGGCCCACCAUUGCUUCUUCAUAAUUCGCAGGUUCAUUGUUGUCUAACAACAUGAUUGAUAAGACGGGAUUACCGUACCACUCUGGAGCAGCACGUGGUCUCGUCGACCUGCGUGGUUCGACAGAAACUUGAACUGGAGUUUCAUGAUUAUCAUCAUUAACUUCCUCCUCAACCGGCGUCGCAAUGACAGAGGUUUCCCCUUGCCCUGCGCCACCAUCCAGAGGGAUGAGAGGUUCGACAACCUCGUCAAGUUCUAUCUUCCUCCCACUCAAUUCUCUCGAGAGAAACUCCUUCUCGAGAAAAGCUCCGUUUUUAGCAACAAACACUUUGCCCUCGGAUUUGAGAUAGAAGGUGUACCUAACUGUCUCUUUUGGGUAACCUAUGAAGACGCACUUUUCCGCUUUGGGUUCCAGCUUUUCAGGCUGAAGCUUUUUGACAUAAGCAUCACAUCCCCAAACUUUAAGAAACGACAACUUUGGUCUUUUGCCAUACCACAGUUCGUAUGGUGUCGUCUCAACGGAUUUUGAUGGUGCCCUAUUUAAAGUGAAUGCAGCUGUUUCUAAUGCAUAACCCCAAAAUGAUAACGGCAAAUCAGUAAGAGACAUCAUAGAUCACACCAUCUCUAAUAGAGUACGAUUACGACGUUCGGACACACCAUUACGCUGUGGUGUUCCAGGCGGUGUUAACUGUGAAACAAUUCCACAUUGUCUUAAGUGAGGACCAAACUCGAAACUCAGAUAUUCACCCCCACGAUCAGACCGUAGGAACUUGAUAUUCUUGUUACGAUGAUUUUCCACUUCACUCUGAAAUUGCUUGAACUUUUCAAAUGUUUCAGACUUGUGCUUCAUCAAGUAGACAUAACCAUAUCUACUUAAAUCGUCAGUGAAGGUGAGAAAAUAACGAUAUCCGCCGCGUGCCUCCACGCUCAUCGGACCACAUACAUCGGUAUGUAUGAUUUCCAACAAGUCUCUUGCACGCUCCAUUGUUCCUGAGAACGGAGUCUUAGUCAUCUUGCCCAUGAGGCAUGGUUCGCACGUGUGAAGUGAAUCAAAGUCAAGUGACUCCAAAAGUCCAUCAGCACGGAGUUUCUUCAUGCGCUUUACACCAAUAUGACCUAAGCGGCAGUGCCACAAAAAUAUGGCGCUAUCAUUGUUAACUCUAACUCUUUUGGUCUCAAUGUUAUGUAUAUGCGUAUCGCUAUCAAGAUUCAAUAUGAACAAUCCUCUCACAUUCGGUGCAUGACCAUAAAAGAUGUUACUCAUAGAAAUAGAACAACCAUUAUUCUCUGACUUAAAAGAGUAACCGUCUCGCAAUAAACAAGAUCCAGAUAUAAUGUUCAUGCUCAACGGAGGCACUAAAUAACAAUGAUUUAAGUUCAACACUAAUCCUGAUGGUAACUGAAGUGACACUGUGCCGACGGCGAUUGCAUCAACCAUGGAACCAUUUCCUACGCGCAUCGUCACUUCAUCUUUCGCCAGCCUUCGUCUAUUCCGCAGUUCCUGUUUCGAGUUGCAAAUAUGAGCAACAGAACCGGUAUCGAAUACCCAGGCACUACUACGAGAGCCGGUUAAGUACACAUCAAUAACAUGUAUAUCAAAUAUACCUGAUUUUUCUUUGGCCGCCUUCUUAUCUGCCAGAUACUUGGGGCAAUUGCGCUUCCAGUGACCCAUACCCUUGCAAUAGUAACACUCCGUUUCAGGCUUAGGUCCAGCUUUGGGUUUCUUCGUCGGAUUGGCAACAGGCUUGCCGCUCUUCUUCGGAUUGCCCUUCUUGCCUUUGCCGUUUCUCUUGAAACUAGUGGUCUUAUUCACCAUCAACACUUGAUGCUCUUUACGGAGUUCAGACUCUGCGACUUUCAGCAUCGCAAACAACUCGCCGGGGGACUUGUUCAUCCCCUGCAUGUUGUAGUUCAACACAAAGCCUUUAUAGCUUGGCGGCAGUGAUUGAAGGAUUCUGUCAGUGAUAGCUUCUUGCGGGAGUUCAAUCCCCAGCUCAGCUAGACGGUUUGAGUACCCAGACAUUUUGAGCACAUGUUCACUGACAGAUGAGUUUUCCUCCAUCUUGCAAGCAUAGAAUUUAUCGGAGGUCUCAUACCUCUCGAUCCGGGCGUUCUUUUGAAAGAUAAACUUCAACUCCUGGAACAUCUCAAAUGCUCCAUGACGCUCAAAGCGACGUUGAAGUCCCGGUUCUAAGCCAUACAAGACUGCACAUUGAACUAUUGAGUAGUCCUCCUUACGUGCUAACCAAGCGUUCUUAACAUCCUGAUCAGCCGUAGCGGGUGGUUCAUCUCCUAGCGCAGCAUUAAGGACAUAAUCCUUCUUCCCAGCUUGUAAGAUUAGCUUAAGAUUACGAGCCCAGUCUACAAAGUUGCUUCCAUCAUCUUUCAACUUAGCUUUCUCUAGGAACGUAUUAAAAUUCAGGAUGACUGUUGCGUGAGCCAUGAUCUACAACACAAAUAUAUUCAAAGUGGACUUAGACUAUGUUCAAGAUAAUUAGAGUUUAACUUAAUCAAAUUAUUCGCUAAACUCCCACUCAAAAAGUACAUCUCUCUAGUCAUUUGAGUGGUUCAUGAUCCACUUACACUAGCUCAAGUCCGAUCAUCACGUGAGUUGAGUAUAGUUUCAGUGGUAAGCAUCCCUAUGCUAAUCGUAUCAUCUAUAUGAUUCAUGAUCGACCUUUCGGUCUCAUGUGUUCCGAGGCCAUGUCUGCACAUGCUAGGCUCGUCAAGCUUAACCCGAGUGUUCCGCGUGCGCAACUGUUUUGCACCCGUUGUAUGUGAACGUUGAGUCUAUCACACCCGGUCAUCACGUGGUGUCUCGAAACGACAAACUGUAGCAACGGUGCACAGUCGGGGAGAACACAAUUUCGUCUUGAAAUUUUAGUGAGAGAUCACCUCAUAAUGCUACCGUCGUUCUAAGCAAAAUAAGGUGCACAAAAGGAUUAACAUCACAUGCAAUUCAUAAGUGACAUGAUAUGGCCAUCAUCACGUGCUUCGUGAUCUCCAUCGCCAAAGCACCGGCACGAUCUUCUUGUCACCGGCGCCACACCAUGAUCUCCAUCAACGUGUUGCCAUCGGGGUUGUCGUGCUACUCAUGCUAUUACUACUAAAGCUACAUCCUAGCAAAAUAGUAAACGCAUGUGCAAGCACACACGUUAGUAUAAAGACAACCCUAUGGCUCCUGCCGGUUGCCGUACCAUCGACGUGCAAGUCGAUAUUUCUAUUACAACAUGAUCAUCUCAUACAUCCAAUAUAUCACAUCACAUCAUUGGCCAUAUCACAUCACAGGCAUACCCUGCAAAAACAAGUUAGACGCACUCUAAUUUUGUUGUUGCAUGUUUUACGUGGUGACCAUGGGUAUCUAGUAGGAUCGCAUCUUACUUACGCAAACACCACAACGGAGAUAUAUGAGUUGCUAUUUAACCUCAUCCAAGGACCUCCUCGGUCAAAUCCGAUUCAACUGAAGUUGGAGAAACCGACACUUGCCAGUCAUCUUUGAGCAACGGGGUUACUCGUAACGAUGAAACCAGUCUCUCGUAAGCGUACGAGUAAUGUCGGUCCAAGCCGCUUCAAUCCAACAAUACCGCGGAAUCAAGAAAAGACUAAGGAGGGCAGCAAAACACACAUCACCGCCCACAAAAACUUUUGUGUUCUACUCGAGAAGACAUCUACGCAUGAACCUAGCUCAUGAUGCCACUGUUGGGGAACGUCGCAUGGGAAACAAAAAUUUUCCUACGCACACGAAGACCUAUCAUGGUGAUGUCCAUCUCCGAGAGGGGAUGAGUGAUCUACGUAUCCUUGUAGAUCGUACAGCAGAAGCGUUAGUGAACGCGGUUGAUGUAGUGGAACGUCCUCACGUCCCUCGAUCCGCCCCGCGAACUAUCCCGCGAUCAGUCCCACGAUCUAGUACCGAACGGACGGCACCUCCGCGUUCAGCACACGUACAGCUCGACGAUGAUCUCGGCCUUCUUGAUCCAGCAAGAGAGACGGAGAGGUAGAAGAGUUCUCCGGCAGCGUGACGGCGCUCCGGAGGUUGGUGAUGACCUUGUCUCAGCAGGGCUCCGCCCGAGCUCCGCAGAAACGCGAUCUAGAGGAAAAACCGUGGAGGUAUGUGGUCGGGCUGCCGUGGAAAAGUCAUCUCAAAUCAGCCCCAAUACCUCCGUAUAUAUAGGUGGGAGGGAGGGGACCUUGCCUUGGGGCUCAAGGAGCCCCAAGGGGGUCGGCCGAGUCCAAGGGGGGAAGGCUCCCCCCCCAAACCGAGUUGGACUUGGUUUGGUGGGUGGGAGUCCUUCCCUUCCUUCCCACCUCCCUUUUUUUUCUCUUUGAUUUUUAUCUCUAUGGCGCAUAGGGCCCUUUUGGGCUGUCCCACCAGCCCACUAAGGGCUGGUGCGCCACCCUUAUGGCCUAUGGGCUUCCCCGGGGUGGGUUGCCCCCCCCCCCCUGAUGAACUCCCGGAACCCAUUCGUCAUUCCCGGUACAUUCCCGGUAACUCCGAAAACCUUCCGGUAAUCAAAUGAGGUCAUCCUAUAUAUCAAUCUUCGUUUCCGAACUAUUCCGGAAACCCUCGUGACGUCCGUGAUCUCAUCCGGGACNNNNNNNNNNNNNNNNNNNNNNNNNNNNNNNNNNNNNNNNNNNNNNNNNNNNNNNNNNNNNNNNNNNNNNNNNNNNNNNNNNNNNNNNNNNNNNNNNNNNNCGACAACAAGGUGCUCGUAACGAAGCAUAGAAUCACUGGGUCAGACUAUGUGGCUCUCACUUUUUUUUCUCACUGGUCACUCCUCAGGACUAUCCAGUUACAACAGUGCGAAAAUCGCACCAUGAAAAAGCGCAACUCACACCUCUUCGUUGAACUCACCAAAGUUACAGAGAGAUUAAAUAGGAGCCGAUUCCCUCAAACAUGUCGUAAGUGUUGUACAGGCGGCUGUACGCAGCAAGUUACUAGUGGUAUAUAUA
rnacentral:lncRNA from 1 species